GUUGUUGCAGUUAAAAGCUCGUAGUUGAAUUUCGGGGUUAGUAGGUUGGUCAUGCCUCUGGUAUGUACUGGUCUCACUGAUUCCUCCUUCCUUAUGAACCGUAAUGCCAUUAAUUUGGUGUUGCGGGGAAUUUGGACUGUUACUUUGAAAAAAUUAGAGUGUUUAAAGCAGGCUAACGCUUGAAUACAUUAGCAUGGAAUAAUGAAAUAGGACGUUCGAU
rnacentral:rRNA from 1 species